CAGUAGCCGCGGGAACACAGAGGGUGCGAGCGUUAAUCGGAUUUACUGGGCGUAAAGCGUGCGUAGGCGGCUUUUUAAGUCGGAUGUGAAAUCCCUGAGCUUAACUUAGGAAUUGCAUUCGAUACUGGGAAGCUAGAGUAUGGGAGAGGAUGGUAGAAUUCCAGGUGUAGCGGUGAAAUGCGUAGAGAUCUGGAGGAAUACCGAUGGCGAAGGCAGCCAUCUGGCCUAAUACUGACGCUGAGGUACGAAAGCAUGGGGAGCAAACAGGAUUAGAUACCCGAGUAGUCCCUGUCUCUUAUAC
rnacentral:rRNA from 1 species